rnacentral:lncRNA from 1 species
AGGAUGCUGACUUGAUUUGUGACCCACAUAAGCGCUACAGUGCAAUAAGUUCUUGCCUAUCUGGGGUUGUGUACUUUACUCUGCAUAUUAAUGUUUGAGAAAACAUAACUGCUACAAUACAAACAAAUGCCUACCCUCUUUGUGGUAUUAUUUAACUGUCCUCAUCUCUUACCUCUUCUCUCAGUUUAUCCCAACCUUGUUUUGUCUGAACUGCACCUGUCAUCCCUGUUCAUGAACCUCUUAACACUUAAUCAAAUUAACCUUACCUUUUAUCUGAUCUGAUGUAACAAUGGGAUUAAAAUAUGGAAAGCUACUGCUUCUUAUACUAACCAAUAAAACAAAUCUGAAUCAGGAUCAUUAUACCUGGAUAAUAUUUUCAUAGGAUUUUAUGGACAUUUGGCAGUUAAAACCAAUUAAUAUUUAACAAUAUAGUGUUGGCUUUAUUAUCAAUGUUAUUUUAUUUUAGUUUCACGUCCCUUUUCUUUUUCAAAAUCAGCAUGGAUUGGAAUAUUUGAAUAUUUACUUACCAAUCGAUGUGCAAAGAUUUUAUAAAGCUGGAUGCCUCUUAAUGACUUACCAAAUGAAGAAUAACAUGCUUCUCUAUAAAGAAUUUGCUUUUGUUUAGGAGUGAAAUACGAUGGUUGUAACAGGGUUUGAACUCUUGAGAUUGUAAUAAUUCAUUUUCAAUCUUAAUCACUGCAGUUUUAUAAUUUACAAAAUUUAAAUGGUUUUAAAAUCUGAAGCAGUUAUUUUAAAUUGCAUACAUUCAGCUAUGUUGAAAUUUAACUCUUCAGCCUCCUUGUAGUUUCCAUCUCUUGGAGUCGAUGUAGCCAGACGGAAAAUGUAAAAAGUAAAGAAGAAAAAACCCCACUACAGUUUUAGUGUUUCAAAUUUUUGAAAAGUUAUUUGUAUCAUUUUGGGUCUUAAGUUGUUGGAUCCCAGUAGUUUUUUGUUUUUUUUUCUUCUGUAGAUAGAAAAUUAAAUCAAAAGUUAAAAAUGUAAAAACAAAAAAUUAAAAAAAAGUUUUGUUAGCACUGUUGUUGCCAAUGUGUCGAUGCGUUGUUUACAUGUGGUUACUGUGGGUAUAUAUGGAAAUUGGGGUAAGACUGUAUUUAUUAACUGUGUUCUCAAAAAGAAUGACCUAUUUAAAUUUAUAACGAGAAAAUUUCAGGAUGACCUACAAUGGCAACAUCUAGAAUGUUGGUUGAAUGAAUUCUUGCUCUUUAUAUUUUUCAAGAGGUUUACUUGUGCAUUGUGGAACAUAUUUUAAAAGAAGACCACUCACUUGUACACCCAUUCCCCACGUAAGUGAAUUCUGUUCUUGAAAAACACUUGUAAAUUGAAACAUGUUACUUGAAUCUCAUUUCUUGUUGACUUGUACUUUAAAAAUUGAAAUACAUUCUUUUCAAAGAACUUGUUUCCAAUCCAAGCCUUAAUAUACAACACCUGAACAACUUGGAAUCAUUUAGAAACAAUAAUUGGGAUCCCUUUUAUUACUUGGGAAUUCUGUCUCAUCAGACAAAAGACAUCUUUUUGAAAAUAGUCAGACUUCAGCAAAAUGGCAGUACAACCAGAUCUACAUUUCGAAAUUAGCCUGUAGAUAUGUGGCUAAUAUUGACUUGGUAAAAUAUUUGCUCAAUAUAUUUCGUAUGAGUUCAAGUAAUUUUAGUAUUCAAGCAAUACUACAAUCUUUAUUUAGUUCAUUGUUAACAAAGAUCUGUAAGCCUUGGUUGAAGGAGAACAUAAUAUCAGAGGUAAUUUUGAGUUGUGAGUGGUUAUUUUUUCUUCAGCAAUGGUACUGCUUUAUAACCAUUAUCCUCUUAAUUAAUCAACAUGCAAAUCCAUUCAUUAUCGUCUUCCCUGGCUGCUUCAAAAGCUCACUUGAUGGGCAAAAUUCAUGAUUUUCUGAACCCACUGUGCACAACAUUAUGGAUAACAUAAAAGUAAAUCGCACAUGCUGGCCUUGAUUUCCACACAUGCCUUUCAUGUUAAUCUCUUUAAUUUCUUUCAUUUAGAAAUGUCAAUUGCAUUUUUGUCUUUGAACUCGUUUCAAAAGGUUUCACAUCAUUAGGCACUGCAUGAACCAUUUAUCUGAAAGCACAUCAAAAAUUGUUUUAAAUAUAUACAUUACCCUCUGAUCUGUGAGUUGACCAGGUGCGUCAUUCCAAUGGAACAAAAAUAUAAUUGAAUCCGUCUUUGUCUAGGCCCAUUCUGUUGGAUUGCAAGUGUCAAAUCCGCAUUCACAAAUCCCUUAAAUACUCUGGGAUUUUCUAAGAUAGGUUUUGUCUUUCGAUCAGCAUUGCCACCAGAAAAGGUGGUUUCAUCCAUAUUGAAAUCUUGUGUAUGAGUAAAUCUUACCUUAUGCAUAGUUUCCUUUUAUAAUGUUUAGGUACUGUUUAUAUCAGUGCUUGGUGUGUUUUGUUUUCUGUAAGAGAUGUGUAUUUUACCACCUUUCAAAAUAGUUGAACCAGCUGUUGCUAGCUGUAAAUUCUGGGACAGCAUCACUAAACUCUCUUCUUGAAGUCUUCAAAUAAGAUGGAACUUUUGAAUGAGAGCAUUAGUCAUAAAUGUCAUCAACCAUAAUGCUAACUAACAUUCUAUAUCACACUAGGGGUUGGUUACUAUUUCAGGGUUAAGGAAGUGGAAUGCUUCAUAAUUUAGUAUUUGCCCUUUUUCAUGGUGGCCAUCGCGAAAGUAAGUUUGUAAUGAUUGGUGAAAGCACAGUCAUUUGCCCUGGUCUUGUUUCUUCAAAAUUUUCAAUUUAGAUUCUAAGAUGUUGUCUUUUCUAAUCUUCUUGACCCAGUCCACCAACGCCUUUCACAUUUACAUUUUACUUCUGUUCGUUUUCAGGACAGGAAUAAAGUAAUCCUUGUAGAUGAUUCAAGCUUUCUUAAGUGAGCUGGAGGACUGUAAAUAUGUUUUUAAAAAAUACGUAAUACUGCAGAGGUACUGUGGGGAAACAUAAGUAUAUAGCAAAAUUGGAAUAUUUCUAAUUUGCACAUUUUUUUUUUAUAUUCAGUAAUAAUUAUAAAAUUAAGAUGUUUUAGUUAGAAACAGUAUCUGUAUAUGAUAGUUAUACGUGAAUUAAAAUGGGCUCAACAAGCAAAUUUCAAAUUAUUAAUCAUAGAUGAAGAGUACAAAAAGCAUUGUAACUUAGGAAGUCUUGACUAAUGAGGAACGGGUGUACAGCAAUGUAAGCCAUAAAGAAGGUAUGCAAUCAUGAAAUUGUUUGUUGGAAAAUAUUUGAGAGAAAUGGAGAUUUAUGUAUUAGUAUGCAGAUAUAUAGUUUACUAAAAUAUAUAGAAAUUAAGCUAAUUACAAGCUAAUAAGCUUGUAAUUAGCUUAAUGUUUGUCUAUGUAGCAGUGACAUACCUAACUCUUAGUUGACUCCAUCAUUGUCCAAUAGCUCUUGCUUUGUAAGUUGAGUCAGGUUCUGUUAUAAAAUAUAGCGUUUAUUGCACAUGACAUUAUUGUACAAAACAUUGAGGGAGCUGAACUGAACCGAACCUUUUUUUAAAAUUGUAGUAUUAGAAUGGUACUUAUGUCUGUAGAGUUAGUUAAAAAUUUUAGUGGUUUAAAAAAAAAAAAUUUUUUUAAAAUUUUUUAUUACUAUGUAGUUUAAAAGCAAAUAUAUUCAACAGAUAUUUGAUUUAAUGUCUUGUAAUAUUUGCUGAAACUCACAAAUGACUGGGCAUAAUAAAUUUUACUGUAAGGUCAGUAAAAUAACAGGAGGUCCAUACAUUUCAGUUGUAUACUGCUGCGUAUGUGCUUCAGUUUUUAUUUCCUUAGCUGAGCCUUUUUAUGGUUCGUAUCCUUUUUAAUAGGACUUUUAACUGUGGGUUGGAGAGGUUUUCUAUUUCUUGUUUCAGCAUUUGCCAGCUGACCUUGAUGAUGUGAUUUACCCUAGAGUUUGCCUACCUGUCCACUUAUACAUCACAGCUUUUAUAGAUUAUUUCAGUUUGCUGAAAAUAGAAAGGUGGUUUUAUAUACUGGACUCUCCAACCCACCUCUCUCUCCCCCUCCCCUCCUAUAAAAAGUAUCCUGUGUAGCACCAUGCGUUUUUUUUAUUGGAUUCUGACUCGAGAAGAAGUUUGAUCCAGAGAAGGUAUGAAGAGGAACCCCGAGUUGAGAUAAUGGAUCACUUGGAUGAUGGACCUAUGUGUUUAUACUUCUGUGAAGUGGAUGUAAUAUUAUUUUGAAAUGAAAAUGUAUUUAGAUUUCCAUGAAAUGGACAGAAAGUAUAUUUAAACUUCUAUGAAGUGAAUAUCAGAUGAAAAUAUAUUUUUAUAAUAAAGCUUGAUGAAAUUUUUAAA